rnacentral:lncRNA from 1 species
GUUUUGUAUUUCUUGUACGGACAUCUGCUUGGAUUUGUUGGCCAGACAAUGCGCGUUUUCUUGUACGAAUGAUUGGGGUUUCGACUUCAUCUGAUACAACUUCAAUAGUUGUACUAGUUGAUCCAGAAUCGUUAAGUUCUCUUUCUGAAUCUAACGAUUCAGCAUCUGUGUUUUCAUUCGUGCCAUCAAUCUCAAUUUAACUGUUCUCCUCUGAAACCUCUCCAAACACUUUUUCC